AUACUUGAAUGGUGUAGGAGUUGCUGAGUGAACAUGAAAACGGUUUUCUCGGACUGAGGCUUGGCCAUUGCACUGUAAGUUGAGCUGGCCUACGCGAUUAUUCUUAAUGUGAAUAACUCGCGUUUGUAAUGUUUGCCAAAAUAUUUCGAAUAUUC
rnacentral:snRNA from 1 species